UGCUGGGGAGGGAGUGCUAGAGGUUG
rnacentral:piRNA from 1 species